GAAAAUAUUAUUACAAAUACAGCUUACGUUGGAGGUGGUUCUCAGGACAACAGUACAUUUGCUGUUUCUUGAAAAUCACCUCUACUAUAGCUGACCUCAGUUCUUACACACAAAUAAAUGCCCAACUACAUAUAUGUAUAUUCAUUUCUGGAAUUUCGUUGUUUUUUCCGUGUCAAUGCUAGAAACAUGGGUCAGUCAGAUUCCGAGUACCUAAUAGGAUCAUCUGCAGAGCGAUAAUUCAAAUUCAAAAGAUCUAGAGAAAUAUUCGCAAAAUCCAUAAUCAAGAAAAAGUGUUGAAGAAAAUUUACAGUCACUCACACUUUUAUGUAUAGCCACAGCCAGCCUUUAUGCUUAGUUACCUGCAGUUGAUUUUGGGAAUUAUUGCUUCGGAUUUUUGAGAAACUGAGAAUUUGUGAUCUCAGGUGAAGCAAUCAGAAUCAGAUACGAGUAAUAACCAGGAAAACACGGAAUGUGACGCAGAAAAUACGAGCAAAUCUACAGCACAUCUCGGAGAUAUAAAAAAUGUGUUCUUAAAUUCAUCAGCAAACAGUUUUGUAGUUGUUGGAGAGGUCGUAGUUCUAUAUACACAGCGAUGACCGAACCGAAAUGUCCAGGAAAUGAAAAUCCAGAAAACCUAAAGAAGCAGAAUAGUUUCCAUUAUCUACAAAUAACUACUUUUAGAAACAGUAAACUAUGGGGUUAAACAUCGAAUCGUAGAUUGAACAAACACGAUGAUGAAAAUUAUCUAUAAACCAUCUACAGUCGUCAAUGCCGAAAAACAAAUGAGAUUCGAAAAAACUUGAUGAUGAUGAAUAUUUGUGAACUGUUAGAAUCAUUUUCAAUCGUUAUAUGUAGAUAUCAAAAGAGAUAACUGCAGUUCAAGUCAUUGAAUGAAUGCUACUGGAUUUAAAAUUCUAAAAUCUACAGGUCAUGAGCAUUGAAACUUUUCAACGAACCGGUAUCGUUUCGAAAAAUGUGCCGAGAAUUUUCCGAAAUUCUUCUCGAAAUUUGUCUCUUCGAGGAGCCAUCGCGGAAAACACACUAAUUGCGUAAGAAGGAGCAUAGAAACAAAACGAAAAGAAUGAACGAAUUGGAAAAACUUAUUUCAGAAUUUCAACAAUGUUCAUCUACAUUUUAUUAUAUUUGUAUUAAUCUCAAAGCACUUAAUGAUUAUUACGAAAAAAAAACAGAUAAGUAAAAAGACCUCAUAUCACCUAAAAAAUGACAGUUACAA